rnacentral:rRNA from 1 species
GGAGUAUGGACCGUGUCUCAGUUCCAUUGUGGCCGUUCAUCCUCUCAGACCGGCUACCGAUCGUCGGUUUGGUGGGCUCUUACCCCGCCAACUGCCUAAUCGGACGCAGGCUCCUCGCAAAGCGAUAAAUCUUUGGUGCAACCGUCAUGCGACAACUGCACAACAUCCGGUAUUAGCGUCCCUUUCGGAACGUUGUCCCCGUCUUUGCGGCAGAUUACCUGCGCUUUACUCACCCGUUCGCCACUGGCACCGAAGUGCCCGUUCGACUUGCAUGUGUUAAGCACGCCGCCAGCGUUCGUCCUCGAGCCACUGAUCAAACUACU